rnacentral:rRNA from 1 species
GACGUAGGGCGCGAGCGUUGUCCGGAUUUAUUGGGCGUAAAGAGCUCGUAGGCGGCUUGUUGCGUCGACUGUGAAACCCGCGGCUUAACUGCGGGCUUGCAGUUGAUACGGGCAGGCUAGAGUUCGGUAGGGGAGACUGGAAUUCCUGGUGUAGCGGUGAAAUGCGCAGAUAUCAGGAGGAACACCGGUGGCGAAGGCGGGUCUCUGGGCCGAUGACUGACGCUGAGGAGCGAAAGCGUGGGGAGCGAACAGG